CCUACGGGGGGCAGCAGUGAGGAAUAUUGGUCAAUGGGCGGAAGCCUGAACCAGCCAAGUCGCGUGAGGGAUUAAGGCCCUGCGGGUCGUAAACCUCUUUUGCCGGGGAGCAGAGGUCCGGACGUGUCCGGGUCGGGAGAGUACCCGGAGACCAAGCCUCGGCUAACUCCGUGCCAGCAGCCGCGGUAAUACGGAGGAUGCGAGCGUUAUCCGGAUUUAUUGGGUUUAAAGGGUGCGUAUGCGGGCAUUUAAGCCGGCGGUCAAAUGUCGGGGCUCAACCCCGGCCUGCCGGCGGAACUGGGGGCCUGGAGUGGGCGAGAAGUAUGCGGAAUGCGUGGUGUAGCGGUGAAAUGCAUAGAUAUCACGCAGAACCCCGAUUGCGAAGGCAGCAUACCGGCGCCCUACUGACGCUGAGGCACGAAAGUGCGGGUAUCGAACAGGAUUAGAUACCCGUGUAGUC
rnacentral:rRNA from 1 species